UACAGAGGUUGCAAGCGUUGUUCGGAAUCACUGGGCAUAAAGGGCGCGUAGGCGGUUCGGGAAGUCGGGUGUGAAAUCCCUCGGCCCAACCGAGGAACCGCAUCCGAUACUCCCGGGCUAGAGUGCGGGAGGGGAGAGUGGAACUCCUGGUGGAGCGGUGAAAUGCGUAGAUAUCAGGAGGAACGCCGGUGGCGAAAGCGGCUCUCUGGUCCUCAACUGACGCUGAGGCGCGAAAGCCAGGGGAGCGAACGGG
rnacentral:rRNA from 1 species